GGAGUUUGGACCGUGUCUCAGUUCCAAUGUGGGGGACCUUCCUCUCAGAACCCCUACUGAUCGCAGGCACGGUGGGCCGUUACCCCGCCGUCUACCUAAUCAGACGCAUCCCCAUCCCUUAGCGAUGAAUCUUUGCUUCACGUUAGAUGUCCGCUGUGAAGACAUAGGGCAUUAAUCCGGAUUUUCACCGGGCUAUUCCCUACUAAGGGGAAGUUGGAUACGCGUUACUCACCCGUGCGCCGGUCGCCACCAGUCUUAGCAAGCUAAGACCGUGCUGCCCCUCGACUUGCAUGUGUUAAGCCUGUAGCUAGCGUUCAUC
rnacentral:rRNA from 1 species